UUACAAUACAAUUAUCCACCUCUGGUAUCAUCAAAUUUAUGAUCCUCAAAUGUCUAUCCACCUCUUUACUCCUCACCUCUCUCCUUUCCACAAUUAUGUCAAGCAAUGUCUUGGAAUCUCCUUCGAUCCAAACUUUGUUCCACCCGUUUUCCAGAACCAGUUCCAGGCCUCUCUGCAAUGCAGCAAGUUCGGCAAUGGUGCUGCUGAUGUUUCUCCCAAUGGAUUCUGCAUAACCAAGUAGGAAUUCUGCUUUGUGGUUCCUGAAAACUCCUCCUAUGCUCGCUUUACAUGAUCUUCCUUUGCAGGAUCCAUCGAAAUUCAGUUUAGUCCAUCCUGUUCGAGGUUUCUCCCAUGAUACAGGGAUGGCUUCGUUGUGACAACUUCUUUUCAUUGUCAAACGUGGCUUUGGAUCAUUUUGGAAGAAUACAGAGAGGCUAAUGUGACCUGGAUGAACUUGGUUUUGUAUAAUUAGUUUUUGGCAUAUGCGAAUCUUGGUUAGGGCCAACAUUGUUUCCUUUAGUAUUUCUUAUGUUGGAAGCUAUUUCAGAAACUAACUGUAAAA
rnacentral:lncRNA from 1 species